rnacentral:rRNA from 1 species
GCUUACGGCCACACCGGCCUGAGUACGCCGGAUCUCGCCGAUUCUCGGAAGCUAAGCAGGGUCGGGCCUGGGUAGUACUUGGAUGGAGACCGCCUGGGAAUACCAGGUGCUGUAAGCU